rnacentral:rRNA from 1 species
UACAGAGGGUGCAAGCGUUAAUCGGAAUUACUGGGCGUAAAGCGAGCGUAGUCGGUUAUUUAAGUCGAGUGUGAAAGCCCCGGGCUCAACCUGGGAAUUGCAUUCGAUACUGGAUAGCUAGAGUUCGGCAGAGGGAAGCGGAAUUUCCGGUGUAGCGGUGAAAUGCGUAGAUAUCGGAAGGAACAUCAGUGGCGAAAGCGGCUUCCUGGACCAGAACUGACGAUCAGGCUCGAAAGCGUGGGGAGCAAACAGG